rnacentral:piRNA from 1 species
UUCUACGAAGAGGGGCCUAAAGAAUGCCU